AGUGAACGCUGGCGGUAGGCCUAACACAUGCAAGUCGAACGGCAGCACAGAGGAGCUUGCUCCUUGGGUGGCGAGUGGCGGACGGGAGAGGAAUACAUCGGAAUCUACUCUGUCGUGGGGGAUAAUGUAGGGAAACUUACGCUAAUACCGCAUACGACCUACGGGUGCAAGCAGGGGACCUUCGGGCCUUGCGCGAUGGAAUGAGCCGAUGUCGGAUUAGCUAGUUGGCGGGGUAAAGGCCCACCAAGGCGACGAUCCGUAGCUGGUCUGAGAGGAUGAUCAACCACACUGGAACUGAGACACGGUCCAGACUCCUACGGGAGGCAGCAGUGGGGGAUAUUGGACAAUGGGCGCAAGCCUGAUCCAGCCAUACCGCGUGGGUGAAGAAGGCCUUCGGGUUGUAAAGCCCUUUUGUUGGGAAAGAAAUCCAGCUGGCUAAUACCCGGUUGGGAUGACGGUACCCAAAGAAUAAGCACCGGCUAACUUCGUGCCAGCCGCCGCCGUAA
rnacentral:rRNA from 1 species